rnacentral:lncRNA from 1 species
UAAGACACAACGUGCUGAUAUAACUUGCUGAAAUUAAAUACAACUUCCUGAAAUUAAGAUACAACAUGCUGAUACAACUUGCUGAAAUUAAGAUUCAACAAUUUUACGAUACAAUAAAAUAAAUCUACUGAGUCCAACGUGGAUAUUUUCCUUUUCCAUCACCAACUUCUUCUGUUGCCUUGGCCGCACGAGCCCUUUCUUUCUUUCUCUCCCUCUCAGCAUCACGGGCCUCCUGCCGCUGUCUGUAAACCUCCUCCAGCCGAAGUUUCUCUUCUUGGUUUUUCCUGAUCAUCUCAUCAAGAAAAGCCCUCUGCUCCACACAGUACUCUUCCCACUCUUUAUUCUCCUCUACUUUCUCCUCUGCUUCAGCCUUCGCAUGGCGCUCUUCCAAGU